rnacentral:lncRNA from 1 species
UGUAGGUGUUCCUAGGUUUAAAAGGGAGGCCCUCCCCCAUUGACCCAGGUCUGAUGCUGUUGUAAUCGGUUAUAGGGGCCUGGUAAUCGCUUACCAGUGGCAAAAUCCCCUAUUGUACCAAAAGUUCAAAACUGCUACCCAGUCAUGGCUGAAGCACUAUCCAGGGGUCUGCAACACUAUUUUUUCAGUGUUUUGAGGAUUGAAUAACCUUGUUGCCC